UACGGAGGAUGCAAGCGUUAUCCGGAAUUAUUGGGCGUAAAGCGUCCGUAGGCGGUUUUACAAGUCUGCUGUUAAAGCGUGCAGCUUAACUGCAUAUAGGCAGUGGAAACUGUAAGACUAGAGUGUAGUAGGGGUAGAGGGAAUUCCCAGUGUAGCGGUGAAAUGCGUAGAUAUUGGGAAGAACACCGGUGGCGAAAGCGCUCUACUGGGCUACAACUGACGCUGAUGGACGAAAGCUAGGGGAGCGAAA
rnacentral:rRNA from 1 species